AGUGAACGCUGGCGGUAGGCCUAACACAUGCAAGUCGAACGGCAGCACAGUAAGAGCUUGCUCUUACGGGUGGCGAGUGGCGGACGGGUGAGGAAUACAUCGGAAUCUACUUUUUCGUGGGGGAUAACGUAGGGAAACUUACGCUAAUACCGCAUACGACCUACGGGUGAAAGCAGGGGAUCUUCGGACCUUGCGCGAUUGAAUGAGCCGAUGUCGGAUUAGCUAGUUGGCGGGGUAAAGGCCCACCAAGGCGACGAUCCGUAGCUGGUCUGAGAGGAUGAUCAGCAACACUGGAACUGAGACACGGUCCAGACGCCUACGGGAGGCAGCAGUGGGGAAUAUUAGACAAUGGGCGCAAGCCUGAUCCAGCCAUACCGCGUGGGUGAAGAAGGCCUUCGGGUUGUAAAGCCCUUUUGUUGGGAAAGAAAAGCAGCAGGUUAAUACCCCGCUGUUCUGACGGUACCCAAAGAAUAAGCACCGGCUAACUUCGUG
rnacentral:rRNA from 1 species